AAAAUAGGGAAUGAGGUUCUCCCUAAGCAAUUAUUUGCUUGAACCGCUUGAAUUUUAAGCUGAUGACUUCUGCGA
rnacentral:ncRNA from 1 species